UCAAUCGAUGCACUUGCCGACGCUAUUAAUAAAUUUACUGGAGGGGUGAUUAUUGUCAGCCAUGAUGCUCGACUUAUAUUAGAAACAGACUGUCGUCUCUCGAUUGUUGAGGACCAGUCAGUGGAAGAGAUCGACGGGGAUUUUGAUGAUUAUAGAAAGGAAAUUCUCGAAGCACUUGAAGAGCCUAUUGCAAACAAACACUAACUUCUGUUAUUCAAAAUCAAUUUUACAUUUAUUGGUUGGUAUAGUACAAAGUAUAAGAAUUUCCUUCGCAUAAUCUCGCUUUGUCCUGUUUUUGCAUUUUCUUGUGGCUGAUUUUUCUUGUAGAGCCAAAGAACACCACGUCCUCAACCUGUUCUGAUAUUUUCAAUGUUCUUCUACCUUCGCAUCUUCCGAUGUCUUUUUCGGUUCAGGUGCUCAUUGCCUUUCAACCCAAUGUUUACUCUAUAUUUUAUUCUUUAAAUUUUAAACAUCGUUAGCUUAGUAUUUAUGUUAAAAAGUUCCACGUCCAAAAUCUUAAAAACUGUAAAAAUCCGAAUAUUACAAUUUAGAAUGCCGAUAGGGACGAAAAAUAUAGCAUCUAAUGGUUUUGCUCGAUUGGGUAUAAAGAGCAAAAAACCAGCAAACACAGAGAGGGUGGAGGGGGGCUAAUUUGAAGAUUUGCGCCAGAGGAUAAAGGGAUUCAAUUUUCCCAUUUGAGGUAAUUGAACUCGAGGUUCUGUAAGAGCCUCGUUUGGACUAAUUUUCAAAUUGAAAAUAAACAUGGCUGCUAUCCACGUGGAAAGAUCACUAAUCAACUAAAGGAAAAAGAUAGAGGUCCAUGAUUCAGCAAGAUCUACGACAGCUUCGGCCAGAAAAAUAAUUGUCUGCCAUUUGGAAGUCAGCUAUAGAACGAUAAACUUCAUGCAGAUCAUGUACAGCGAUAUACCAACAUUUGAAGGCGAUUUUAAUGAACUGAAGUUCUAAUUGUUCCGCAUAAAAAGAGGGUAAAAUUUUUAUUGAGUAUCAUAUAAUUGCCGUUUCCAUUGCACAUAAUUUAGUCCUUAGAUGAUAGACGUAUUGAACUUCCAUUUCUCCGAUCCAUUCUUUAGAUUUACAUGUACAUACCGACAUCCCCAUUUAAGUUUUUUUAGCUUUUACCCCCCCCCCUCCCCCUCUUUUUAAGGAUAAUAUCGAUAUAUUGCAGUUAUCAGGACCUCAUAUAUUAAAGGUUGGACACACUGGGCCAAAAUCCCUUCAAUAAAGUCCCACCUGUUGAUACCUGCUCUUUGCCUAGAAUGAAUUAAUGCCCUAUAAUAUAGUUUAGCUUACAAAGAUGUAGAGUUAUACAUUAUUAGAUUGAAACCUUUUUUGAUUGAAACGAUAAUAAUUGAAUACAUUAUAGUCAUUGUAACAGUUAUUAUAAAUCCAACACCAUAUACGCUCCUAUAUUCCCCUUUGCAACUCGGUACCUACACACCUUUAGCUAACCUUAUCAGUAAAGUCAGCUGUUAGGAAGCAAUUGCGUUUUAAAUUAAAAUAUGUGUUUAAUUUCACUUUAAAGUUGCUGUGAAGUUUAAGAGUACAUUAGUAUUUUAUGCCAUUAGACUGUGACAACCAAUGCUGAAUCAGCUAAUGGAGAUGCCUUGCAAUGUCCUUCACCCCUAAAUAAAUAUAUCGAUCCCUAUUGUUUCUCCUUCCUUGUUGAGACAAUGAAUCAGUAAAUUUCCACCCAUCGUUUUCAUAGGACGCUAAGACCUUAAAUCAGACACAUUGCCAGUCUUUUGUAGUAAUUGUUCUCUCGUUCUCAUGGGGUUGAACUACAAUCGCCGAGAAGUAGAUGAAAAUUGAAUAACUAGCACUGCUAGCACGCACCAUAGAAAGUUAAGAAAAGUUAAAGCACUCGUGCUAAGUAGCAAAUUUUAGGGCUUUCCCUUUGAGUUCUCUCCAUCCACCCUUUACAACGCUGGCAAACCCCGAUUUCAAUAACACUAACAAGAAUUUAUAAACAAUGUUGAUACAAGAAGUUUGCUUUUAACGGCUGACUGCCAAGUAUUCCCCUUACCACAACUUCCCCUCUCUAUGCAGACACGCCUAAUCAUUUAUCAGAGCUUAUGGUGCAGAAAAUUGGUCUUGCAAAGCAACCUUGGCUGCAACACUCUGGAUACAGAGGGGCUUUUGAGUUUGCAAGGAUUUCCACAGAGGGUGUUGUCUCUACGGCAAAUAAAGAAGUUGCUUUUAAGUGUCGUUGCUAUUAUUUCUUUACGUGAUGUAUUCAGUGCUCGAUUCCAAAGGAAGUUGGUAUCGUUAACAUCAGUACCCCCUCUGGCUACGGACAUGCUAACCAUUUUAAAUGUCAGCUGCAGGUUCCAAGAGAACACGGGGUAUUUAUGCAUUCCGGUAGGACAUAGUGACUUCUCCGUUGUAAGAAGAAAGUGCCGGAUGCAUUAAUAUCUUAUUUCAGAAGAAAGUUUAUGUGUAAAACUAAUUGAUUACCAUAGACGAGACACUUUUCUUUAAAGAGAGGGAUGACUUUACACUAAGCAAAAGCAAUAUCCUUUUAAGUUCGGCUAUGUACUGAAUGUUGAGCGAGGAGAGAACCUCCCCAGUUGAGCCUCUAGCUUUACAAAUCGUCUAUUGAAUUUCUUUUGUUAAAUGUGAGAAGUCUUUGAAUUGGUAGUUUGCUCAAGAGAAGUAUUUUUUGUAGCUUCGUUAUUCAGCCGAUUUUUUCGUUGAAUUGUGAAAUGAUGAACUGAGACAUUCACCUCUUCGUGUAUAUUUUUUGUUUAUUUUUCCUGCUUUUCCUAACUUGGAAAAUUGACAAUUUUCGCAAGCCGGUCACUACAUUCCUUUCUUUACACAAAGAGAGCCUUUUGUCUCCGAUUGAAUAGGCAGUGUUUCAACUAAAUGUUGCAUUUUUGGCAAAAGUAUACAUUGUAUCAAUUUAUACGUUAUACCACAGGAUGCAGGAGAUUGUGCUCUUCCUUCUGGUCUUUUCGCUGGGACGAUCGGACCAUUUUUGGCAAAGUUAUUCGACUUUUUCUCAGUUUUGACCGAGGGGGAUUCAGGAUUGCACAAAGCAGUUCAGAAAAAACAAUAGGCUUGUGAUUCCCAGAGUUUGUAAAGAUCUCAGUUUUUGGUGAUUUACUCCUAAACUAUAAUAGCCAUGAAUUUCUAGUUUAAUUCAUGAGACGGGCCGUUCGAUGCUCGAUUUUUUGAGCCAUUCCCCGUAUUUUUAGGACCAGUUUUAGCCGAGUUAUUAAGGAUUUUGUCUCGAAAAUCGCCAAAAAACGGUUUUUUGGACUUUAAAAAUCGAAAACAGCUGAUAAAAAUCUGCUGAUAC